CUUUUACAAUGAAGAGUUUGAUCCUGGCUCAGGAUGAACGCUAGCUACAGGCUUAACACAUGCAAGUCGAGGGGCAGCAUUUCAGUUGCUUGCAAACUGGAGAUGGCGACCGGCGCACGGGUGAGUAACACGUAUCCAACCUGCCGAUAACUCGGGGAUAGCCUUUCGAAAGAAAGAUUAAUACCCGAUGGUAUAAUCAGACCGCAUGGUCUUGUUAUUAAAGAAUUUCGGUUAUCGAUGGGGAUGCGUUCCAUUAGGCAGUUGGUGAGGUAACGGCUCACCAAACCUUCG
rnacentral:rRNA from 1 species